GACAGAUCUUCAAUUUAUAGAGUUCCAAGUUUUUUCUCUAAAGAAAGAAUAAUCAAAUAUAUGUAAGAUAAUUACACUUUUAUAGUACUAUUUCGACUUUCCUUCAACUAAAACUCAAAUAUAGUAAGAAAAUCAAGGCAAAACUAUAAUCGAAUUGACUCGUUUCUUGCCGGGACGAAUUAAUUAAGACGCGAAGUUGUUUCAUCAGUCGAAAGGGGAGAAAUUAUAUAGAAGUACAACAAAAGAGUCUGCUAAUUAAAUUAUGUGAUUAACACUAAAUUAGAGUUGAAUAUAUAAUAAUUAUAAAAAAAAAUCAAGCUGAGAAUGAUCUAGAGUAUUUCUGACUGUCAACCCAGUCCGAUGAACCUUGAUCAAAAUUCUGAGAAUAAGAGUUCAGAUCAUAAUUAAGUGAACCGCAUUGAUGAUGACUUGGACUUGAAAUUGAAAUUGAAGCGGCGUUCAAGUAAAUUCUUCUUCAUCUUUCUCCAUAUUAAUUUCCAUGUAGGUGCUUUCUUCUUCGAUCUAUCAUAACCAAUAUUGUGUAAAUCAUCCAUAAGAGAACAAAAUUUAGAGUAGUGAGUUUUUGAUUUGAUGUUAUGGUAAUAAGAGUGUUCCCCUAUUUAUAUUGGAGAAAUUUACUCUAACCUCCUUAACCUUUUUGGUUUAGGAAAUAAU
rnacentral:lncRNA from 1 species